rnacentral:rRNA from 1 species
CCUACGGGAGGCAGCAGUGGGGGAUAUUGCACAAUGGGGGGAACCCUGAUGCAGCGACGCCGCGUGGGUGAAGAAGCGCCUCGGCGCGUAAAGCCCUGUCAGCAGGGAAGAAAAUGAUGGUACCUGAAGAAGAAGCCCCGGCUAAAUACGUGCCAGCAGCCGCGGUAAUACGUAGGGGGCAAGCGUUAUCCGGAUUUACUGGGUGUAAAGGGGGCGCAGACGGCGAUGCAAGCCAGGAGUGAAAGCCCGGGGGCCAACCCCGGGAGUGCUCUUGGAACUGCGUGGCUGGAGUGCAGGAGGGGCAGGCGGAAUUCCUGGUGUAGCGGUGAAAUGCGUAGAUAUAAGGAGGAACACCGGUGGCGAAGGCGGCCUGCUGGACUGCAACUGACGUUGAGGCCCGAAAGCGUGGGGAGCAAACAGGAUUAGAUACCCCAGUAGUC